rnacentral:rRNA from 15 species
AAUGUCGUGGUUAACGGAAAUGGUUUGGGAUGACCUGCCGUAGACGGUGAGAGCCCGGUACGUGAAAGCCUGACAUCUGCCUUGAACAGUGUUCCCGAGUAGCAGCGGGCCCGUGAAAUCUGCUGUGAAUCUGCCGGGACCACCCGGUAAGCCUGAAUACUUCCCAGUGACCGAUAGCGGAUUAGUACCGUGAGGGAA